AGCGAACGCUGGCGGCAGGCCUAACACAUGCAAGUCGAACGAACCCUUCGGGGUUAGUGGCGGACGGGUGAGUAACACGUGGGAACGUGCCUUUAGGUUCGGAACAACUCAGGGAAACUUGUGAUAAUACCGAAUGUGCCCUUCGGGGGAAAGAUUUAUCGCCUUUAGAGCGGCCCGCGUCUGAUUAGCUAGUUGGUGAGGUAAUGGCUCACCAAGGCUACGAUCAGUAGCUGGUCUGAGAGGAUGACCAGCCACAUUGGGACUGAGACACGGCCCAAACUCCUACGGGAGGCAGCAGUGGGGAAUCUUGCACAAUGGGCGAAAGCCUGACGCAGCCAUGCCGCGUGGAUGAUGAAGGUCUUAGGAUUGUAAAAUCCUUUCACCGGUGAAGAUAAUGACUGUAGCCGGAGAAGAAGCCCCGGCUAACUUCGUGCCAGCAGCCGCCGUAACAC
rnacentral:rRNA from 1 species